UUUCCGAAGGCGUUGAAUGACGAUGGAAUCCUGCCUGCUUGAUUGAUUUUGAUCCUCACAUUGUCUUCUUCUCGCGACAAAAUGCGACAAAUAAAUGUGUGGAGUGAAGCAGCGAGUUGGUUGAAAUAAGGCGUACAGUUUUUUGUUUAACGUUUCAAAACGUUGACGGAUGCAAAGAAGGAUUCCAGCAUAGAUUAGAACCACGUUGAAACGAAUAUAUUGCUGAAGACCAUGAGCAAUAGAAAUAGAAAUCGUCCAGUAGGGUUGCAGGAUGCAGUCGGUGAUAGAAAAUAUACCAACGGUGAUAGUUGCCAUAGCGAAGGUAGUGAAAAAGUUUUUAAAAUAUUUUCCAUCAUCGUUGAUAGUGCUCACAAUUUCUAGCUCGUUGCAGAUGCUGUACACUUUGUUCAUGAGCAAAAUGAUCUUUUUGUGCACAUACAGACCUACAAACACGAUGACGGCUGGAGUCAUCAGUGAUAUGAAGUGUGACAAUACACUGACUUGCGUGGUGAUUUUUGAAGGAGAUGAUUUGGAACCGGCCCAUAGACAAGUUGUUAAAGCUGCUAUUGAAUGAAGCAUAGCGAGAAAAACCAAAUAUGCCUUAACCAGACGGAUCGGUGGAUAAAAUUUGUGGCUUUUUAAAGUGAAUGGUGCUAGUCCCAUAGUUUUUGCCACGUAAUACAGCAUCAUCGGUAUUUUCUGUGAACGCAACGUCCAGUCUAUACGCCUGGCGUUGGAAGUACUAUACAUGCUGGAAAAAAAAACUAUUACCGACAACGUAAAACAUUCGCUCUCAGAGAAAGCUAAGACGGUACUGAAUGCAGGAUAAUUUGAACAGUAGAAUGGUACCCAUAAAGGCGUUCUCAGUACGUUAUCGUACCGACUGAUAAUCAUAAUCAAGUCUUGAGUCGUAAACUCACUUCAGCAAACCUCAAUAUUGAUCUGCAAAAUCGAUGGCGAAUACUAUGCGCGUUCUACCAUUUUAUCACGUGCCGAUCGUUGUGUUGUAUCAUGAUGAUGAUGUAUGGCAGAGCGGUGCAGAAUAUCUACACAGAAAUAUCACGGUACUUAUAGUGUGGAUUUUACUGACCAAGUACAACUUUGAAACUUACAAGACGACGUUGUCUAUUUUGCAAUAUAAAUUGCGAUUCAAGUCAGCUGAUUAGUCAUACCUUGAACAGGUAAGAAUAGUCCACCGGUGUCAAUCCGCAAAUAAAUAUAGCAGGUGAUUUGUGCAACAGUUGAGUAGAAAACAUGAGAAACUGCAAUAGUUAAUGUCAAUCGAUGCAUUCCGAUUAUCAAUCAGAUGCAUAAAUUAGCAGGUUAUAGUUGAACUAAAAUAUACUAACCUUCUCCGCUAAUUCCAAUGGUUGAAAAUCCAUCCACACUUUCGACAACAGGGCUUUGGUAGCUUCUCCCUGAAGAAGGGAUAAGGUCAGAUUAGUGCUGUAUUAUUUAUAUCGACAGCUACGUUUCAAUGUCAGUUACCGACAUUUUUGAAGUACUAACCACGAUUGUUACUAAUUGUACUUAUUUGUGUACAUCAAGACUCAUCAUUCGUUCGUACGAAUCAUACCUGUUCCGAAGUUGUAGCACCUGCAUGGGCGAUGACGAACAGUUCAGUAAUGAUAACCAACAUUCGAAGUGCGGGCACCAAGAUGAAGGCCCUCAUAGAGAAUACUGAAAAUUUCUCCAACAUGGUUUGGUUUAAACUCAUACAAGUUUUGUACAUCCAGUAACUGCCUAAAACGAUAGUGAAGAAGGAUUUUACGAUGAAUACAAGUAUUGGGCCGGCAAAUAUACGAGUUGUACGUUCUAACAGGUCGCAGAGUUCCAAGUGCAAUGUUGCGGCAAUCCGAAUGUUUUGAACGCCAGCAGAAACUACAGCUGUACUGCUUGAUCGGUUGACGUCGCGGGAAAUUUGUCUCGAAUUAAUCACUGAGGUUCUGUAGAAACUGCUGAAAAAUCCGUAGGGAUGUAAAGCUUGAAACAAUACGUACAAUUUUUCGUUCAUUAAUGAAAAACGAUGUUUGAUGCAGAGAAGGAUACAGCAAAAGCUUAAUAUCACAUUCAAAUCAGUGAAUCGGCUGAUGUGAUUUUCGACAGUUACGACAAUUGAUUGCUUCAUACUCAGAAGAGUUAUAAUUUGCGUUAUUGCACAGUUGGCAAUGUUGACGGUUGUGAUCAUCACAAAGAGGUUGUUGAAAAAUCUGCUGUGAUCUUCCUGGAUCCCAAGAAUCUUGAGCUUGUUGCUAACGAUGCACAACUUGUUCAUUAGUUCAAUGGUAUCUUUGUGCAUACUUAGAAACGUGAUCAGAGCGCAAAACGUACAUAGACGUUUCCCAAAAUAGUACACCAGCUGGACGUUUCUAUCUACCGUUGUCGAAUCCCCUUCAACAGACUUCAUAAUUCUGUAAGUCGUUAUGAAUGACACGAGUAAAUUACAGGUAGCAAAGACGAACGGAUACAGUCUCCCCGGAAGUGUGGACGGGUAUAUGAUGUUCUUCCUUAGGGUGAAUGACGCAAGUCCAGCAAAUUUUGCCAAGUAAUAAAUCAACAUCAAAGAUAUCGGGUAACCCGUUUUCCACUUCAUAUUGUCUUUACUGACAGUGAAAUGAACUCACACCGUACGGCGCAAGUGGUCUUUACUCGAACCUUUGCAGUGCCAAUACCGGAUACUAUGCUACUGAACAGCUCAGAGUCGAGUGGCGUAACAUCGACGUACGCAGAAAUGCAGAAAUUCUGAAGAGAGGGUGACAAUCGGAAUCCAUCCGAACAGUCGUAAACCUUUUCACACAUUGGCUAGUAUCGAUUGGUAAUAACAUCACAAAUCAUGCAAAGUCAAGGAUAACGUAGGCUUGAUAACUUCGUCACUGGUCCCUACGAAGAUAAUACCUGAAAAUAAGACUGGAAAUGAUCAACACAAUAUUGUACACGUAAUCAGUGAUGUGAUAGAUCGAAGGACUCGAUGAAGUGUGCUUUAUUAAAACCAUUUCAGCACUCCUAACAAAAUAAUAUCAACAGACUUAUGGAUCGGGGAGUGCAGAAUAAAGGAAUUAAUAAAGCGAGAAAUGAUGAUGAAUGAAUUACAAUGUAGAAUUUUUCGAGGAACUAUAUUCGCAAGUAAUUAGAGUGCGUAUGUGUCAUUUAAUAAUUAUCACCUAUCACGUAUUUAAUAUGAACAUCUAUUUACCUUGCCGAUAACAUUAUUUUCUAUACAUUGGUUUGUCAUUUUUAUUCAAUUCUUAAUAUUUCAUGGACACAGUUAGUUGAUUAAAAUCACUAAUUUUCUUUCGUUCACUCGUUUUUUCUCUUUCUUAAUAUAACAUGUGAUGUAUAUUAGUAAUUAUAUUUUUUGAUAAAUUAUAUAAUAUGUAUAUAUGCAUGAUUUAUAUUUAUGUAUAUGUAUCUAACGAAAUUUUGCAACUGUGACAGUACAAUUUUUAUAUAUAUAUAUAUGUAUGUAUAUAAUAACGAUAGUAUAGUACGUAUGACCAUCAUUACAUCAUAACGCGAAGGAGGGAUUGAUUUUCUCAUUUCGUUUAGUAAGAUGAAAAUUACGGAAAAAUACAAAUUCUCUUCGACGUUAAUAAAUAAUUCACUGCUACACGAAGAGCAUCCAGAUGACGGAAUUCUAUGUUAUUCGACGAGUUAUAAAAAUGUUUCAAGUGCAUCUACGACG